CUUAAUCAUGGAGGGCCCAUCUGACAUGGACUGCACAUUCUGACGUACGUGUCCGGACAUCAAAACGUAUAUAUAUACUGGACGUAUUGCAUCAUAAUUUUUCAACGUACAUAAUAAAUUCGUUAAUUAAGAGCUAGAAAGCAGAAAGGACGAAAGUUGGAGUAUCAGGGUCCAGAAAUUGUGGCUCUUGCGCCACUCUCACAGCCACAUAGCAGAAGAAAACUCAAGACAAUGUUGUGAGUGAGAAAAAGAAAGGGAGGUUAAAUACAGUGAUGAAAAUGACAAACAGAAACAGCACUUCUCUUAUUCCCUGUCAAUGGUUUGUUUGUUUGAUCAGUUUGAAAAGGGUGAUGCUGCAAUUCCAAAACUGAAAAGGUAGUAUAAUGGUAAUUUCACUUUCACAAAGAACAAGCAGCUUUUUGUGCCAAAC